AUCCUCGAGGGGCGUUGCGACAAGACUCACGGUCUUGCCAGGCUCGGGGCAUGGAUAGGUGGUAUCCACCUUGGAGAACGACGCUCACCACGA
rnacentral:ncRNA from 2 species